UAACAGGUUAGGUCAAGAUUUUAAGGGACCUCUCCACAAAUCCUCACGCUACUCUUCAAAGAACUCUAUAGCAUUCACAGAAUGUUCUACUGUAUUUGAAUUUGAACCGUGCAAAUCUAUACUUCACUAUGAUGAAGAGAAAGGUAAAGCUGCAAAGAUUGAACUGCCCAAUACUGUUACUGUAUUUCAAUGGUUUCAGGUCUGAGACAUUACUAGACUGUGUCAUUGUCCCAAAUGACACCCUUUUCCCUAUAAAGUGCACUACUUUUGACCAGGGACCAUAGGAAGUAGUACACUUUAUAGGGAAUAGGGUGCAGCCCUGGUCAAAAGUAGUGCACUAUGUAGAGAAUAGGGUUACAUUUGGGACAAAGCCUGUAAGCCUGCUAUAAAUAUGGCUCUCUGGGGUCUCUUUGCAUAGUACGUUGUUCGAUGCGGCCACACUAAAAUAGCACUCAAUGCAAUACUUCACUGUUUAUUAAAAAAGGGACAUUCCACCACCGCUCAGUCCAAAAGGGGGGUUGUGACAUAAUUAUCAUCAACAUGAGAAUAUAAAGCCAUCACGUCAUCAUGGAAACAAACUUCCUGCUGUCUGUCAGAGCUAAUUUGUCAAUCUUCAGGAAAUGUCCCAAAGGGCAUGCCUCUUUCUCGCUCUAUCCUGUCCUAAAAACCAUGCCUCUCUAUCCUGUCCUACAGACCAGGCCUCUCUCUCUAUCCUGUCCUACAAACCAGGCCUCUCUCUCUAUCCUGUCCUACAAACCACACAUCUCUCUAUCCUGUCCUACAAACCAGGCCUCUCUCUCUAUCUUGUCCUACAAACCACGCCUUUCUCUCUACCCUGUCCUACAGACCACACCUCUCUCUAUCCUGUCCUACAAACCACACCUCUCUAUCCUGUCCUACAGACCACGCCUCUCUCUUUCCUGUUCUACACAUGUACUAUAUAUACAGUUGAAGUCGGAAGUUUACAUACACCUUAGCCAAAUACAUUUAAACUCAGUUUUUCACAAUUCCUGACAUUUAAUCAGAGUAAAAAUUCCCUGUCUUAGGUCAGUUAGGAUGACCACUUUAUUUUAAGAAUGUGAAAUGUCAGAAUAAUAGUAGAGAAUGAUUUAUUUCAGCUUUUAUUUAUUUCAUCACAUUUCCAUGGGGUCAAACGUUCCCAUACACUCAAUUAGUAUUUGGUAGCAUUGCCUUUAAAUUGUUUAACUUGGGUCAAACGUAGCCUUCCACAAGCUUCCCACAAUAAGUUGGGUGAAUUUUGGCCCAUUCCUCCUGACAGAGCUGGUGUAACUGAGUCAGGUCUGUAGGCCUCCUUGCUCGCACAAACUUUUUCAGUUCUGCCCACAGAUUUUCUAUAGGAUUGAGGUCGGGGCUUUGUGAUGGCCACUCCAAUACUUUGACUUUGUUGUCCUUAAGACAUUUUCCCACAACUUUGGAAGUAUACUUAGGGUCAUUGUCCAUUUGGAAGACCCAUUUGCGACCAAGCUUUAACUUCCUGACUAAUGUCUUGAGAUGUUGCUUCAAUAUAUUCACAUAAUUUUCCUUCAUCAUGUAGCCAUCUAUUUUGUGAAGUGCACCAGUCCCUCCUGCAGCAAAGCACCCCCACAACAUGAUGCUGCCACCCCCGUGAUUUACGGUUGGGAUGAUGUUCUUCGGCUUGCAAGCCGCCCCCUUUUUACUCCAAACAUAACGAUGGUCAUUAUGGCCAAACAGUUCUAUUUUUGUUUUAACAGACCAGAGGACAUUUCUCCAAAAAGUACAAUCUUUGUCCCCAUGUGCAGUUGCAAACCGUAGUCUGGAUUUUUUUAUGGCAGUUUUGGAGCAGUGGCUUCUUUCUUACUGAGUGGCCUUUCAGGUUAUGUCAAUAUAGGACUCAUUUACUGUGGAUACAGAUACUUUUGUACCCGUUUCCUCAAGCAUCUUCACAAGAUCUUUUUCCUGUUGUUCUGGGAUUGACUAGCACUUUUCUCACCAAAAUACGUUCAUCUCUAGGAGACAGAACGCGUCUCCUUCCUGAGCAAUGUGACGGCUGCAUGGUCCCAUGGUGUUCAUACUUGCGUACUAUGAACAUUCAGUUCUAUGACAACAGCUCUGGUGGACAUUCCUGCAGUCAGCAUGCCAAUUGCACACUCCCUUAAAACUUCAGAUAUUUGUAGCAUUGUGUUUUGUGACAUAACUGCACAUUUUAGUGUGGCCUUUUGUUGUCCGCAGCACAAGGUGUAAUGAUCAUGUUGUUUAAUCAGUUUCUUGAUAUGCCACACCUGUCAGGUGGAUGGAUUAUCUUGGCAAAGGAGAAAUGCUCACCGACAGAGAUGUAAAUAAAUUAGUGUUUUUUGUGCGUAUGGAACAUUUCUGGGAUCUCAUUACCUUAAUGAUUUCUCUGUUAAAUCUAAUGAGACACUGCUGUACAUCAAGCAGACAACAACAGAUGAUACAUUUCAAAUCCAGGCACAUCUGCCUUCACUGGUGUAACUAAUGAGCAGUGGUGUAAAGUACUUAAGUAAAAAAUACUACUUAAGUAGUUUUUGGUGGUAUCUGUACUUUACUAUUUAUAUUUUAGCCAACUUUUACUUCCCUAACACCCAAAAGGACUCAUUACAUUUUGACAGGAAAAUGGUCCAAUUCACACACUUAUCAAGAGAACAUCACUGGUCAUCCCUACUGCCUCUCAUCUGGCGAACUCACUAAACACAAAUGCUUCAUUUGUCAUUUAUGUCUGAGUGUUGCAGUGUGUCCCUGGCUAUCCAUCAAUAAAACUAUAUAUAAUAAUCAGGCCUUCUGGUUUGUU
rnacentral:lncRNA from 13 species